UACGAAGGGGGCUAGCGUUGCUCGGAAUGACUGGGCGUAAAGGGCGCGUAGGCGGCUUUGUGCGUCACCCGUGAAAGCCCCCGGCUCAACCGGGGAGGGUCGGGUGAAACGGCGGAGCUGGAGGCAGCGAGAGGCUGGUGGAAUUCCCGGAGUAGUGGUGAAAUGCGCAGAUAUCAGGAAGAACACCCGUGGCUAAGGCGGCUCUCUAGUACGGUACUGACGCUGAGACGCGAAAGCGUGGGGAGCGAACAGG
rnacentral:rRNA from 1 species